UUGGCUGUAUGUUUGUGUAGAAAGUGAGACGAAGUAUCCCUGCACGCGAUGUAUUGAAUUCUACUUUCAUCAAUAUUGCAGUGAACUGAUUCACUCACCAAAAUAAAUUUCAUCCGUGUACAGAAUGUCUUGUUGUAUUAAAAAGUUAUGGCUUUACCAGGGCCCAGGUUGGUCUCAUGUUAGUGAGAAUUCUUAGCAAAGUCUUUGUUGUAGGUAUCUUGAUUUGUCAUUUUUCAAAACAUAAAUUCCUUCAAUGUUAAGAAUAACGUACUAAUAAAUGCUAUAGCAAAAUUUUAUUUUGACAAGACGAAUAUUGCUAUUUCUUUAAUAUUCAAAUCAUCAAAAUGAUUUUAAUUAAUCUAGCAUCGUUAGACAUAGUGAGUAAUGUUAAGUAAUUACAAUCAGUGUUUCUGACUCUCGUACCUCUGAUUCAAAGGCUAUUCAUGAAUGGUUUUCAAUGAUUUUGCAUACACACCACCGUCAUAUACGAUAACUUACUCCUAAUAUAAAGUUUGAAUCCUUAAAAGACCAAAUCACACGAUCGCUAACUACCCUCUAAUCCAUUCAUCCCGAGCUAAAUAUUGAGGGUUUUCACAAUUCUUCACCAUAGUCCUUUUAGGCUUAGCAAUUCGCUUCCAUCAUAUGCCGUCAUUUUGAUCAAUGGCAGCUUUUACUGAAUAAGUCUUCAUGAAUGACUCUUCUGAAUGACUCUUCAAAAAUAAGUUUAAUGAUUUUGUUCUUCGUGUGUAUAUUAGAUAAGUCUUUUUUCCCAUUUUCCAUCACUACUUUCACUCAAACAAGAUGAUUAGAGAUUUUGCAGGGGAGAUAAUUUAAACAUUGUGCAUAUUUGUCAUGGAGACAGUCAAAUAUCGAUUAUAGCAAGAUGAAAUAUCAUGUAAUAUUUAAUUUAUCACACAAAGCGUAUUUCGAUUUGGAGGUUUUAUGAGAAGUACCUUUCACUGGCUUUGCAGGCACAAAGUCUGAUCGUAUGAUAUCUGAUCAGAUUAUUGUGUGGUAAGUUGUUAUUAACUUGCCUUUACGCAGGUGCUUAGAUACUUUGAUUGCAUCUGUGCCCACGAACUGGUGUCCAGUGUAUUAUCAAACUUCAUAGUUGAGAAAUGAGAAUGGUUGAGAUGAGAUUGUUUGUUUUAUUUAUGAAUUUUAAGACUAAUUUGUGGAGAGUACGGUGUGAAAUGAUCUUUUCCAUGACAGCAUUCACAAGAAGAUUAUAAAGAUUAGCUGGGUUUUUUUUUUAAGGAGUAGGUACGAUUUUGUUAGCGUAUUUUAUUUUUGUAAUUAUGUGAUGAAUUUUGCCAAUGCUCUUAGGUCUUAACUCUCGAGCCUCGUGUUCAUAAAACAUUAUUUAUGUUGCUUCUUAAUGUCAAAAAUCUUUUCGAAAAUUUUCUGUUCCGUUAAAAACGAAAUUCCCAGCGAGAAAUCCAGUCACAUUUGCACAAGGGAAAAAGAUAUUUUAUUCUUGAAUUUAAAAUUCAAAUAUGGCGGUAAAAAUAUUGCUCCAUGUGUUUUGAGUUCAACGGAUAUUAUAACUUAACCUUGUGUAUAUGUUUAAGUAUGUAUAAAAAUUUUAUUUCAAGAGGGUAACAGACAACAGUCAAAUAGACUGAUAAACUACUGGCUCUUUUAUACUAUAUAUACAAAUGUAUAUCAAAAUUAUAAAAUUAUACUAUAGUAUAUAUUUAAAAAAGGAUCAUGCACUCAACUUUAAAACAUCUAUAUACUUCUUGUUUAGUCAGCAUGAAUUUGACGUCAAGUACGUUCAUUUUUGGCAGUCUGUGUGACGUGUAUUUAUUUGAUCAUGGAGCAUUUUGUUUAUUAAAACGCGUGCCAAAAACACCUUUGUUUUUCUAUAUAUGCACUCGUACUUAAGCGUAUUGUAAUCUGGGCUAGAAUUUGUGAUAAGCAAAAACGUGUCGUUAGAGUGAUACAAUAGCUAUUAUUGAUACACCGAGUUCAAUUCCUUACAAAGUUUCUUGAUUGUUUGAGUUAGUUUCUUGAACCCCAUUGACAUAGACGAAUAGUGAAAAGGCAAAACAUCAAAACCACUUAAACACGGGCAAACCACUUAAACAUUGGCAAACCACUGGUUUUGAGGACGUUGCUCUGAUGCUGCUUGUAUUUUCUGAAAAUGUAUUUUUGUUUUUCUCAAAUGAUAAUGGUGUAUAACACGACAUACAGAGCAAAAAGCUCUCUAAAAGAAGACUUUAUUAUGUAUAAAUCUAUAACCGUGGGUGUGUGUGGGUGUUCUGAUGUGCAUUUGGUGUGAAGCACCUGUCAGUCGGCCUGUUUUGAACAGCUACGUCUUUCAAAAAUUUCAUAUCUUUCACUUUGAUUGUCAUUAGUUAACGAUGGGAUCAAAGUUUCAGAUUGAAGCUCUCUUUUCUUCAUUGUCUGUCAAUGUUUUUGGCUCAGAUUAAAAUCAAUGAUUUCUUCUGGUUAAGUGAAAAUAGUUCUCGAUCUUUUCCCGCUAAAGUGGAUGAAUUUAUGCACGUGAUGAUUGUAGUAAUCUUCUUAAUGCAGUGGCAUCCUCCCGUUAUACAAACAUAUUUCUUAUUGUGAUUAAAGGAAAUGUCUUCCGUCUUUACCGAAAUGAUCAGAGAUGAUGGUUUGUGUGUGUCUGUGUGUCAGUGUAUGUGGGAGGGGGGGGUAGGCCCGGCUGUUAAGUGUGUCCAUUAAUUGUUUGAUAUAUUAGUAUUUUGCAGGGAAAUUGACUUCCAUCUUGUGUAUCUAAGACUAGGGAUGGUGGUGCAUACUUCUCUUCAACCCUGUCCUAAAUCCAUCCUUCGUUUUGACAUAUCAUUAUAUCCUUGAUAAAUGACUAAUGAUGUCUCACCCUGGCACUUCUAUUUCAAAAUGUGAUCAACUUACUCUUUGAUCGAUGGAACGAAGUUCUGUUUAUACCGAAGUAUUUGUUUUCCAAUAUAACCACCAAGUAGCAGCCGAUUUAUGAAGUUUUCAUCUCAGCAAAGCUGCUAUAUUUCCAGGUACCUUAUGUACGUGCUUUACUUAAUUUAUGGUCUCAUUAAAGUAUUCACAAUUAUUGCU